GCCCCAGUAGCUUAACUCGCCCAAAGCCCUGGUCUUGUAAACCAAAGCCGGAUACCACUGUCCCUGGGACA
rnacentral:tRNA from 1 species